rnacentral:rRNA from 1 species
CUACGUGCCAGCAGCCGCGGUAAUACGGAAGGUCCGGGCGUUAUCCGGAUUUAUUGGGUUUAAAGGGAGCGUAGGCUGGAGAUUAAGUGUGUUGUGAAAUGUAGACGCUCAACGUCUGACUUGCAGCGCAUACUGGUUUCCUUGAGUACGCACAACGUUGGCGGAAUUCGUCGUGUAGCGGUGAAAUGCUUAGAUAUGACGAAGAACUCCGAUUGCGAAGGCAGCUGACGGGAGUGCAACUGACGCUGAAGCUCGAAGGUGCGGGUAUCGAACAGGAUUAGAUACCCUGGUAGUCCGCACAGUAAACGAUGGAUGCCCGCUGUUGGUACCUGGUAUCAGCGGCUAAGCGAAAGCAUUAAGCAUCCCACCUGGGGAGUACGCCGGCAACGGUGAAACUCAAAGGAAUUGACGGGGGCCCGCACAAGCGGAGGAACAUGUGGUUUAAUUCGAUGAUACGCGAGGAACCUUACCCGGGCUUGAA